AUGGAGAGCACCGUGAUUUUGAACGGGCUCAUCACGAGCGUUAGCAGUUCACUGGCGGGUGUUAUCGUAAGGGUAGCGUGCGUCAAGAAGGACGUUGACACCCUCACGGGGCGACUUGAGAGUAUAAUGGCAGUAAUCGGAGAUGCAGAGAGGCACCGGAUCCUGGCUCGGUCCGAAGCGGCCGACCACCGACUCAAGAAGCUUAGAGAAAUUGCGUAUGAGGCGGAGACCAUAAUUGACCUCUUCAGGAUUGAAGUGGGAACUUCACGGUCACAGCUUUGCGGCUUAACGAAGAGUUGUUCAAGUGGGCUACAUUUGAAAAGAAAUAAGAAAGUUCUAGUCAACUUGGGAUUAGCAAAAGCAUAUGCAUCCUUUAUCUCUAAAUAA
rnacentral:rRNA from 1 species